UACGUAGGGGGCUAGCGUUGUCCGGAAUCAUUGGGCGUAAAGCGCGUGUAGGCGGCCCGGUAAGUCCGCUGUGAAAGUCGGGGGCUCAACCCUCGGAUGCCGGUGGAUACUGUCGGGCUUGAGUGCGGAAGAGGCGAGUGGAAUUCCUGGUGUAGCGGUGAAAUGCGCAGAUAUCAGGAGGAACACCAAUUGCGAAGGCAGCUCGCUGGGACGUUACUGACGCUGAGGAGCGAAAGCGUGGGGAGCGAACAGG
rnacentral:rRNA from 1 species